rnacentral:rRNA from 1 species
ACACCGGCAGCUCGAGUGGUAGCUGUUUUUAUUGGGCCUAAAGCGUUCGUAGCCGGUUUGAUUAGUCUUUGGUGAAAGCUUGUAGCUUAACUAUAAGAAUUGCUGGAGAUACUAUCAGACUUGAAGUCGGGAGAGGUUAGAGGUACUACCGGGGUAGGGGUGAAAUCCUAUAAUCCUGGGAGGACCACCUGUGGCGAAAGCGUCUAACUAGAACGAUCUUGACGGUGAGUAACGAAAGCCAGGGGCGC